AUUGAACGCUGGCGGCAGGCCUAACACAUGCAAGUCGAGCGGAGCGGCGGACGGGUGAGUAAUGCCUAGGAAUCUGCCUGGUAGUGGGGGAUAACGUCCGGAAACGGGCGCUAAUACCGCAUACUAUCAGAUGAGACUAGGUCGGAUUAGCUAUUUGGUGGGGUAAAGGCCUACAAAGGUGACGAUCCGUACCUGGUCUGAGAGGAUGAUCAGGCACACUGGAACUGCGACACGGUCCAGUCUCCUACGGAAGGCAGCAGUGGGGAAGAUUGGACAAUGGGCGAAAGCCGGAUCCAGCCAUGCCGCGUGUGUGAAGAAGGUCUUCGGAUUGUAAAGUACUUUCAGCGGGGAGGCGUUACCCGCAGAAGAAGCACCGGCUAACUCCGUGCCAGCAGCCGCGGUAAUAC
rnacentral:rRNA from 1 species